rnacentral:lncRNA from 1 species
UGACGACUCCAGUCCGCAGCUGCCUGCUCAGGGGCCGCGCAACUCUACGCGUCCAACGGGAGUGUUGGUCACAUCCGAUCUCCAGCCGGCUGUCACUGGAAGCUCCUCCUCCAAUUCCGACGUUUCCUUCGGCUGUCGAGACGCUUCGUUCUCGCCUCAGAACUCCAGUCAGCACCGCGACGGCAUCCCCGAGCUCCCCGACACCGCCAAGCUCCCGCCACUCACCCGGGACGAGGAAUGUGCUGCGGCCACGACGGUGGAAGCCGACGGUGAGGACUCGACGGAGAAGCGGCCUGUAUCGGCGGCGGAGGACGCCGUAACCCCCGGAAACGGCGCCUGCCGCUCGCGCGCUCUCUGAGCCACAUCAGCGAAAGCAGCGCCGACGGCGCGGCGCCGACGGACCGGUCGGCUGGCGAGUCUGCGGACGCAACGUCGCCGAUCUCAAGGAUUUCUAUCAGCGACAUCGAGAUGGAGUUGCGGGGCAGGACUCAGGAGCCGCCGGGCGCCGCAGACGGCGAGCGUUCGGAGGCGGGGGGGGACGGCGUGACAGAGACACUCCCGUCUGAAACCAACG